rnacentral:rRNA from 1 species
AUACGGAGGGUGCAAACGUUGUUCGGAAUCACUGGGCGUACAGGGCGCGCAGGCGGUUUGAUUAGUCAGAUGUGAAAGCCCACGGCUUAACCGUGGAAGUGCAUUUGAAACUGUCAGACUUGAGUACCAGAGGGGGUAGUGGAAUUCCCGGUGUAGAGGUGAAAUUCGUAGAUAUCGGGAGGAAUACCGGUGGCGAAGGCGACUACCUGGCUGGAUACUGACGCUGAGGCGCGAAAGCGUGGGGAGCAAACAGGAUUAGAUACCCCGGUAGUCC